GCGAGAGUGGUGGAAUUGGUAGACACGCUGGUCUUAGGAACCAGUGCCUUCGGUAUAAGGGUUCGAGUCCCUUCUCUCGUAUCA
rnacentral:tRNA from 1 species